CCCGCCGCGCGCGGCGGGCGGGGCGGGGGCACGGGGGGCCUACGGGAGGCAGCAGUGAGGAAUAUUGGUCAAUGGCCGAGAGGCUGAACCAGCCAUGCCACGUGCGGGAGGACGGCCCUAUGGGUUGUAAACCGCUUUUGUUGGGGGGCAAUAAGCUCUACGUGUAGAGUGAUGAGAGUACCCAGCGAAUAAGCAUCGGCUAACUCCGUGCCAGCAGCCGCGGUAAUAAU
rnacentral:rRNA from 1 species